CUUUGACCCGGAAGUUGCGCGCACAGGCGGCGGCCUGGGAUUGGACACCACCAGGCACGUACCAAGGCGUCCCCGGCGCCUGGGGGAGAGCCCGAGGCGCGGAGCGGCGGCCUAAGGAAAAACAGCAGAUUUGUUUCCGCCCGGGAUCGAACCGGGGACCUUUCGCGUGUGAGACGAACGUGAUAACCGCUACACUACGGAAACCGAGAGAGUCUCGUUCUGUCGCCUAGGCUGGAGUGCAGUGGUACGAUCAUCCCUCCCUGCAGCCUCCACCUCCUGGG